CCCCCCUCCCCCAUCCCGAUUCCCAACUCUCCAUUCCUCUUUUUGUUGCCAAGCCAUUGCUGCCAGACUAGGCGUCAUUGUACUUCACCACGCCAAGAGGUCCACCCGUAUCUCUCUCAAGCUCUCAUUUUCCCUUCUUCCAUGCCUCUCUCUCUCUCUCUAACUCUCUGUUGAUCUCUCCAUUCCGAUAUUAGUUCCCUGGGUGACCAACGUAGGCCGCUGAAGCCAACACACCGCCCCGCCACCAAGGGUACCUCGAGUGUCCCUAGACAGCACCACCUCACUCUCGAAUUCAAUGGGUCCAUCGCAACAAGCUUCGGAAGUUUAUUAGUUAGAUCAAAGCCGCUGCGGAGUGGUCCAGCAAUUAAAGUUAGAAGAGCAGCCCUCUAUUCACACGGCGACAUGUAGGCAAAAACACUAUAAACGAGUUAGACCUCCUCACACAGAAUCACCACAAGCAAGUCAUAGAAAUCGUGUUCUCCCAGCUCUCACAGGCUCUUUUUGUCUUCGUCUCCAAGCUCUCAAGCCAUUCUCUUUGCACUGCCACAAAGCCUGCCGCCCAAGAUGAAGCUCUGUUCCACCGCUACCAUCUCAGUCCGACGCUGACCAUCCAUUGCCUAGCUUGGUUUUUCAGACCACCUCACCCACACGGAUUGAGCACCAUCUCACCCACAAGUAUUUUACACCAUCGUCGACCACACAGAUUUCGCACCACCCCAGUCGGCAACUUACGGUUUUUCAUGGCUGAGAAAGGUGACCUUGGUGUUGCGCAGAUGAUGUGAAUGUCGAAAAUGGGGGCGAAUGUCGAAGAUGGAGUGAAUGUGGAUGGAGGAGUCUCUUCAAGUAGUGGUACUUUGGAGCUAUUCAUUGAUAUAGUAUUUGAGGAUGUGGAAGAUGCCUAAACAUUUUACAAGACAUAUGCAAGAAGAAAAAGUUUUGUAAUUCGGACGAAUCAUACUCGGUUGUCGAAAGAUGAUAAAACUCUUUAUGCAGUAAACUAUGUUUGCACAAGGGCAGGAUUCCGACGGAUUAGUCGGAAAGAAAAAAAUCGAACACUCCUUGAACCUGCCUAGACAGAUUGGAUGUAAAGUAAUAAUGAGAAUAAAAAAAGAUGGUGAAAAGUGGAUAGUUAACAAGUUUGUGGUUGAACAUAACCAUAUUCUACUUACACUGAGAAGUACUCAUUUGCUUCGUGGACAUAGGAGAGUUACUCAAGUUAAAAAAAAAAAACUGAUUAUGAUGUUAAAUGAGUCCGGUGUACCGACAAGGAAAAUUAUGUCGGUAUUGAGUAAAGAAUCAGGUGGUGAUUUUAAUGUUGGUUGUAUUGGCAAGGAUAUUGAAAAUUACUUGGGAACCAAAAUGAGAAAAGUAUUUGAAGAGGGUGAUGCACAAAUGUUACAUUCCUACUUUAUUGAUCGACAAUUCAAAGAACCUGGAUUUGUAUAUUCCAUACAAGUUGAUAAGGAUGGGUGUAAGAGAAGUUGUUUUUGAGCUGAUGCGCGAUCAAGAGCUGCAUACCAAUAUUUUGGAGAUGUUACAUUUGAUGUCACUUACCUGACCAAUAUUUAUAAGAUGCCAUUUGUGUCAUUUUCUGGAGUUAACCAUCAUCAUUAGACCAUAAUGUUUGGUUGUGUUUUGUUAGUUAAUGAAACGACUGAAUCAUAUACAUGGUUAUUGAGAACAUGGCAAGAGGCUAUGCUUGGGCGUGCCCCUUCAACUAUAAUUACCGAUGAUGACAAAAUGAUGGCUAAGGCCAUUAUAGAGACACUCCCGAGUACAACUCAUCGGUUGUACUUGUGGCACAUUUUACACAAGUUUCCCGAACAAUUGGCCUAUGUAUAUAACAAUUUAUGGACUUUCAGAAAGAAUUUCGUCAUUGCAUCUAUGAGACAAUUACAACUGAUGAGUUCGAGCAAGAAUGAGCUUCGAUAGUAGUGAACUAUGAGCUAGAAGAAAAUACUUGGCUGCAAAAUCUUUACAGCCGAUGGGAUAAGUGGGUACCGGCUUACUUGCGUUUGACAUUCUGUACCGGUAUGUCAACAACUCAAAUGAGUGAAAGCAUGAACAAAUUUUUUAAAGAUUAUGUUCGUUCAAGUAUUAUGGUUAGUGACUUCGUGCGUCAGUAUGAAAAAGCUAUAUAUGCAUGUUUUUUUAAAGAGAGAGAGAAAGAUGUCAGGACUAAAUCUACAUGGGCGAUAUUGAAGACACCUCUUAAAAUUGAAGAGGAGGCGGCAACGGUUUAUACAAAAAGUCUUUCAUGAUCUUCCAAUAUGAGCUGUUCGAUAGUUUACGGUACCAAGCAAGAAAAUUAUUUAAAGUGGGUGAAACCAAGACAUAUGGAGUGAUAGCUUAUGGUAAAGAAACACCUCUUUACCAUGUGACAUUGGAGGGUGAUGAAGGACAUGCAACAUGUACAUGCCAUAUGUGAGAGUUUAUGGAGAUUCUUUGUAGGCAUAUCUUGUGUGUUUUUGGCAAGAAAGCAAAGUUAGAUAGAUUGCCACAACAUUAUAUUCUAGAUAUAUGGACUAUUAAUGCUAAGAGUCGACCUAUUCCCAACAUAUCAUAUUCUGAAGGGCAAGUUUGACAAGGACAAGAUGAGCCUACGAUGAGAAAAAGCAAGUCAAUGAUACAACUUUAUGGCAGUGUCGAACUUGCAUCACAGUCAACAGAAAAACACAAUCACUUCACACUUGCAUUGGAAAAAGUUCACAAAGAAUUGCUUGUAAUGGAAGAUUAUGUAGAAUGUUCAGAAAGAGGGGAGGCAACCAAUGAUGAUCAAAUAUUAAAAAGUCAAGUUGUAUCGAACUUGUUUGGAACAACUGUUCUUCAGUAAGGGAUAUUGGGCAUACACCUGAGGUUGAGCGCACUAACUUGGAUGACUAAUGGAGGUUUGCUUAAGAGAGUUGUGAUGCUUUUGAAGGUUGUGAAGCUUUCUCGUUUUGAAGUUGAUGAGCUUUUGUGGAUUGAAGCUUCAUAUUUUUAGGAGUUUUGUGCAUUGACACUUGUGAAUCUUUGAGUUUGAACUUAUGUCUUUGGCACCAAUGUUAUGUACUUAUUGCUUAUUAAUUGAGGAAUUGAGAAUUGUAUGUAUAAAUUGAGGAAUUGGGAACCUGGAUUUUCCCAUCGAUUUGUGCCAUUUUGUUUAAUAAUUUGGAAUUAUAUGUAUAA